UUGGGGUGAAAUUUUCAUCCUCAAGGUGGAGGAAAAAAUUGAUGUUGGUCGUGUCGUGACACUAAAUCAGGCGUUGCUUCGGAGGAAACCCAAGUUAAGGUAGGGAUUUAUUUUCACUAUUUUUAAUUUUUACUUCACUUAGUUUUUAUUUUUGUUGGGUUACAGGUUGAUGGGAAGUUGAGUACCAAAAACUUGAGCCUAGGAGCAUGGUGAAGACUAAGUGUGAGGUCCUCAGAUCCUCUUGAUAUAUAAAUAUGCUACUAGCUAGGCCUAUAGCUCUUAGGGAGUAUUUCUAUAUGUACCUUUAAGUACACUUUGGGGACAAAGUAGAUUUCUAAGUGUGGGG
rnacentral:lncRNA from 1 species